CGCCUUUUGGGGCAAAAUUCGGCAUCAGUUCUGGCGACCCAGGUGGGACGAAACAGGAGACUCAGACUUUGAGGGGUUCCCUCCGAAGAGCCGGUCCGGGGCCGGGACCCUCUGGGGCCCCUGACGGAUUUUUGUCAGAAGAGACUCCCCUCCCGGACCAGCGCUCUUCGGCAGAGGAAGGAUUCCCUGCAUCUCCUGCUCCAAUUAAGAGAUUGAAACGCGCAUUGUGCUGUCUACGUGCCUUGAAUUUGGGAAGCCGGUACUUCACAGUUUGAGGGCGACUUUUUUUUGUGACAAAACCUGAAUCUUUUAGGAAAACCCCUACAAGAGAAGUGGGAAGGACCUUUCCAAGUGCUGCUGACUACCUUCACCGCGGUCCGGAUCAAGGAGCGACCUACGUGGAUUCAUUACUCGCGGGUCAAGAAAGCUCCAGAGAGUAAACAAGAGGAACGGACAUCAUGAUCUUGACUUCACCUCAAGCCCUUUCAACCCUGAUCAUUGGACUCUCGAUAAGUAUAGUUCUUCCCCGAGACUCUGACCCGAUAGAUCCAUGGUCUCACGCACACCAGUGUAUCCACCCGGAAUGGGGAGCGAAGGGACCCUAUUUCGAGGUAUAUGCCCUACGUAACAAUCAGCCAUACGCAAGUAAAUUAUGGCAUCAAUCUUCCAUGGUAGCAUACAAGGGAGACCAAAUCCAAAUUGGGUGUCGAGAGCUUGACUCAGUGGAAGGAAGAACAAAGCAGCUAGUAUUGACAAUUCGAUCCUUGGGGAAGUCAGCAUCCGAACAUAACUUAAUUACCUUUAGUCCGGUAAAAAUGGGUAAGCCCACUAUUUGGAGGCAGCAAAAGGGCCCAAUUUCAUGUCGGUGGAGUGAUUUCCGGGAAGAUCCAACCGGAUCACAGCCCCAAAGACUUGCCCCAAGAAACCACUCCACCAGCGGAAUGCAAACAAUGUUUGGGCCAGUUAUGAUUAUAUCAAAAAUAAGUGGCAAUCGGUUAGCACAGAAGCAUGUAUUCCUAGAGGACAGCUAGGCUAUGUUUGCGAAAACGCUGUAGUAGAAGCAGAAGAUUUAUGCUUAGAUGCUGAGAAUAGAGUGUGCACCUUUGAAGUGCUUUUGCGUAAUCGAACACAGUCACAAGUUUACUAUAUAGGGAAUGGAUGUGCUUGCGUACGGACAGCCUGUGACAAUGUCACUAUAGAUAAUUGCCAAGAGGAAACUAACAAUACUAACUUUUGUGUAUGCAACUUUACCAAAAUAGUGG